ensembl:misc_RNA Metazoa_SRP Metazoan signal recognition particle RNA
GCCGGGUGAGAUGGCUCACACCUGUAAUCCUAGCACUUUGGGAGGCCAAGAUGGGUGGAUCACCUGAGGUCAGGAGUUCAAGACCAGCCUGGCCAACAUGGUGAAAUCCCAUCUUAA